UGGUGUUGGGCCAGCGCCCCCAGCGGCUGCUCUCGUCGCGUUCGUAACCCAUUGUGACUUCUAGACUCGGCAGCACUCUGCACGCCAGGAGAGGAGCCAUGCUGGACAGACUGAGCCAAAGAGAGCCGGAUUCAGGUUCUUGACUAUUCCGUGGCCUCCAGGAAAGAUGACCGCAUCAAAGCUGUUGGCGUCCAGUUUGGACAGAUCGUUCAUCUGCAUCAUGCCCUGACCGUGGCUGAAUCGUGCAGACUCCAUCAUCAUGUUCCUGCCGAGAGGGAACGGUUUGCUAUCAGAUGGUCUCGCCAUGUGAAUGAUUACUAGAUUUCAAAGAAUACCAUGAUGUUUCCUUUAGGGCUGCAUCUUCAUGUGGUCCAUGACGUGCAUCUGCUGCUGGUUUGGAGCAAAGAUCUGAAAACGGGCUCCAUUACGGCUCAAGUGGUACAUGGUGCUUUAAAGAGAGACAGCAGUAUGUAUGCAUUACACCUCUCUAGAAUACUUGAUGCUGACUGGUCAAUAGGUCAAUAUUUUUUAUGCUCAGAAGCUGAACCUUACAUUUGACCAGGUAAAUAGUUACCACUUUGUUUCACACAUCACCAUUUCUUCUCACAAAAAUUGCUUAAAUCAAUAUUUCAUGUCCAUUUAUUUAUUUAUGUGGUAAGUAAGAAGAAGGAUGUGAAGUCAUUAUCUCUAAAUAAACCCCUUCUGGUUGAAGUCCUGAUGACCCUGUGAUAAUGACCAGGUGACUGUACAUUAUCCCUUACAUAAUAACCCUAACACAGAUCCAUACACUAUAAAGAUAUAAAUAGGUUUCAUUUGUUGACAUUAGUUAACUAAAACAUUUAAUAAUCUUAGUUAAUGUUAACUUAAGUGUUACUGUAAAUGUAGCUUGUUUUAAGGAUGUUUUAGGUAGACCAAAUGAAGUUUUGAAGUAUACUCACUAUGCAGCCUCAUGGAUGUCAGUCCCGUCCCACCAACCGCAGCCUGAGAAAACCUUCAAGAGCAGAUCCGGUCACAUUCAGAACCAAACAGAAACUCAAUACUGUGUCAGUUUACGUGCGUGUGGCAUUUUGUAUUCUUACCACAGCUAUGUUGGUGUUGCCCCAGUUCCCCCAGUCUCCCCCAUGAUGCACCAGGCAGGCAGGUUGGCGCACCAGCAUCGCUGCGGCCUGCUUGGCGAGGAAUGCCCGUGAUGCCAACAUGAUCACACUGCUGAGUUUACAACACAGAGAUCAACUGAAAGAGAGAGUCGUGCAAACUGAACUCAACGAGUCCAAUCCUGCUGCAGAGGAAGCCCAGCUCUUUUAUACGAAUGUUGCAUGUGGGACGUCACUCUGGUGAAAUGUGACCAGGAUAUUUCUUGCCAGUUUCCCUGAGCUUUACUCUGCAGAAUAAUCGUGCACCUGCUGUUGUCGCAGAGGCAGGCCGUUGCGAGAGAGAAAACUUCAGCAGACGAUUUGCUUUUAGAGGCG